AUUGAACGCUGGCGGCAGGCUUAACACAUGCAAGUCGAGCGGGGAAGGGUAGCUUGCUACCUAACCUAGCGGCGGACGGGUGAGUAAUGCUUAGGAAUCUGCCAUUUAGUGGGGGACAACAUUCCGAAAGGAAUGCUAAUACCGCAUACGUCCUACGGGAGAAAGCAGGGGAUCUUCGGACCUUGCGCUAAAUGAUGAGCCUAAGUCGGAUUAGCUAGUUGGUGGGGUAAAGGCCUACCAAGGCGACGAUCUGUAGCGGGUCUGAGAGGAUGAUCCGCCACACUGGGACUGAGACACGGCCCAGACUCCUACGGGAGGCAGCAGUGGGGAAUAUUGGACAAUGGGCGGAAGCCUGAUCCAGCCAUGCCGCGUGUGUGAAGAAGGCCUUAUGGUUGUAAAGCACUUUAAGCGAGGAGGAGGCUACUAGUAUUAAUACUACUGGAUAGUGGACGUUACUCGCAGAAUAAGCACCGGCUAACUCUGUGCCAGCCGCCGCGGUAA
rnacentral:rRNA from 1 species